UACGUAGGGGGCAAGCGUUGUCCGGAUUUAUUGGGCGUAAAGAGCGUGUAGGCGGCCAGACAAGUCUGCUGUGAAAAUUCGAGGCUCAACCUCGAGCUGUCGGCGGAAACUGUCUGGCUAGAGUCCGGAAGAGGAGAGUGGAAUUCCUGGUGUAGCGGUGAAAUGCGCAGAUAUCAGGAAGAACACCUAUGGCGAAGGCAGCUCUCUGGGACGGUACUGACGCUGAGACGCGAAAGCGUGGGGAGCGAACAGG
rnacentral:rRNA from 1 species